CCCAGCUGCUUCCAAGUGGCACACGGCAGCCGCAGCCUCUCGGCUGUGGGUGACCUUUCCCGGCCCCCACCCUACCUGCCCCAUGGGAUUCUGGUGACCCGGGUCUCUGACAAGCACCAGGGGCUCUCUGGGCUGGGGUCUGCAUGACCCAGGAGUGAAGCAGGGGUUUGGGGGAUGCACAGGGGCCAAGACUGGGAGACUUCUGGGCAAGUGGGCAAGGAGACCACCCCUCAGAAGUGCCCCAGGCAUCCCCUAAGAGCCUCUCAGUCCAGGCCUCCAGAAGUCACGAGGGGCAUGUUGGGUGGAUCCAGAGGAGAUGGCAAGACCACCAGGCACCUGGCAGGAAAGGCACACAGGUGCCUUCUGGAUAGCUGGCCAGCCUAAAGGGCACAAGAGGAGGACGUGUACAAGCAGUGGCUCUUCUGAGCUCUUCACCUGACCCAGAGGCAGGAAGCAGGCUGGAGCUAGUGUAUGCCCUGGGAAAGCUCAACAUGCCUGCACAGGCUCCUCCAGGAAGGAUACAUUCAUGCACCCACAACCGGAAGCAAAGCCAUUGGCACAGUCUUCCCAGAAUUCUGACUCCCCAAGUCACAGCUUCCCAAGGAAAAUCAGAAUGGCUGCCUCAAUCAUCCUCCAUGUCUUCCUUUCUUUUGCUGGGCCUCCAUAUUGCGAGCAACUCCCGCUGACUCUGUAGAACUGAGUCCAAAUCCAGUCGCCUUCCCACACCCCUAUUGCUCCCUGCACCUCAAACGAGAAGCAAAGCCAUUGGCACCUGGGUGUCCAGCCACCACCCUCUUUCCCUGGGACCAUUGCAAUAGCAUCCUCACGCCCCACCCCGCCCCCUUGUCCUGCUACACAGCUGGCAUGGCUGCAGCUGGCAGUGGGAUUGUUGUAAGCUACCGUUUGUGUUAAAAGGGCAGAAAAAGAACACGUUGUGUAUGAACUUGUAUUUGUAAGAGGAAGCCAUUCUGUUCUGGUAGCUACACAGAGACAGUUUAGAAGUGGAGCCUAAAGUUUAGUUUUGGGGUCCCUUAAGAAAAAUAAUAGAAAAGUGGGUACAAAAGGUGAGAUUUAGAAUUUAAAAAAAAAAAGGAGUCAUAAAAAGUUAGGAAUUAUGGAAAGCUGAGAAAUGCCACAAACAUCACAAAAUCCAGGGGGGAAAAACACAAUAAUUUUUUAAAAUUGAUUUUUAGAGGAGAGAGAGAGAGAGAGAGAGCGAGAGAGAAACAUAGAUGAGUUGCCUAUCUCGGGCACUUGGACCAGUGAUCAAAUUGCAACCUGGGUAUAUGCCCUGACAGGGAAUCGAACCUGCCAUCUUUUGGUGUAGCCAAUCAACUGAGCCAUAAAUUUUUUUUAUUUUUAUUAAUCAACUGUCUGACAGACCUUUAUAAUCCUUUCCCCCAACAGUUCAUUGAUCACCUUCCUAUGAUGAGAAUGCUGUUGUUUUGUAUAUAGGGAAUUAAAAGAUAAUUCAGUCUUUCCUCUAGCAUGGCCUAUUGCAUAAAGCUUUUACUACUACAGACUGUUUAGGCAAGUUUCCGUUUCACAAGAUGUACUUGGAAAUGCUUUGUAUAAACACACACAUUUCAGCACCAUUGUGAAAUUUGGAAAAACCUCCGUCAAGUUUUUUCUUAUAUGAUCUGUUACAGAUCUUGAUUUGUAUAUGAUUUGUUGUUUUUAGUACCGCCAUAAGUUUGUAGUACAGCCCUACAAACACAGAUAUGUGGUCAUUGCAUUUUGCAUGAUCUUCUCC